CUGCCUACGGGGGGCAGCAGUGGGGAAUAUUGCGCAAUGGGCGAAAGCCUGACGCAGCGACACCGCGUGAGGGAAGAAGGUCUUCGGAUCGUAAACCUCUGUCAGAAGGGAAGAACGGUCACUGUGCUAAUAAGCAAUGAAUUGACGGUACCUACAAAGGAAGCACCGGCUAAAUCCGUGCCGGCAACCGCGGUAAUACGGAGGGUGCGAGCGUUAAUCGGAAUUACUGGGCGUAAAGCGCUCGUAGGAGGUCUG
rnacentral:rRNA from 1 species